UUGAUCCUGGCUCAGGACGAACGCUGGCGGCGUGCUUAACACAUGCAAGUCGAACGGAAAGGCCCCUUUUUGGGGGUGCUCGAGUGGCGAACGGGUGAGUAACACGUGAGUAACCUACCCUUGACUUUGGGAUAACUUCAGGAAACUGGGGCUAAUACCGGAUAGGAGCUCCUGCUGCAUGGUGGGGGUUGGAAAGUUUCGGCGGUUGGGGAUGGACUCGCGGCUUAUCAGCUUGUUGGUGGGGUAGUGGCUCACCAAGGCUUUGACGGGUAGCCGGCCUGAGAGGGUGACCGGCCACAUUGGGACUGAGAUACGGCCCAGACUCCUACGGGAGGCAGCAGAAGGG
rnacentral:rRNA from 1 species